rnacentral:lncRNA from 1 species
UUUUCAACUCCUUCCAUAUAUUUUUAAUCUUCCUCCAUAUAUUAUUCAUAUCCCUCCGAUUUUCUCUAAGUUAAGUAUUUUUAUAAGUUUAAUUUAUUUUUCAAAAACCCACGCCUUAGUGUGAACCCGCAAAAUAAAGCCCUCCGCCCCAAAAUUCAUAUAGCCGGAGCAAGCCUCAGUUUUGUCGACCUUCAACCGUCGGUGUUUCGGCCAGCAAUCGUCGGUUCUCUACCUUCAUUAUCUUUGGGAUUAUCAAAUCUCGGGUCUUCCUCUAUCUAUCUUCAUAUCUUUAGCUCGAUAUUUCUUAGGGUAUUACUUAUUGAAGUUAUUUAGGAGUCCAUCUAUAUGCAAACUGAAGUAUUUCAUGCGAAAAGUUUCAAAUAGUGGAACAUGAAUUCUCAAAUUUGAUUUUAUAGGUGGAAGAAAUUUUUCUGUAUGCGAGAUUAAAGUGGAAUUUGCCCCCUUUUCAGUUAAGAUUCUUCUUCUUUGAUUUUUUUUUUUCUUAAUUACCUGUUUUGACCCAUUUUCUUAUAGUUUUUUUCUGCUAUUUCUAGUUAGUAGUUUUCCUAUUAUCUUUUGGAGAUAGCGACUUCGCUAAAGGAAGGAAUGAAAAAGAUAAAUUAAAUUAGUUUUAUAGUGCAUUUCAUCAAAAUGAUCUCACUUGGAUUUGCGAUGGUUAAUUGAAAAUGCAACAUUGGAACUCUAGUACCAGAACAUUUGCAAUUUAAAAUUUUUUCAAGUAUGAAUUUUAUGUAUGUUUUAUAGCGACUUAACCCUGCAUGUCGAAGUAUAAUAUUGAAGUGUAAUAUUUUCGCCACUGAUUGUUGUGAGAUAUUAUUCUCCUUAGUUCUUCAUGUUCCAUUCACCAAAUGGUGUAUCUAUAGCUUAAUGCCUCAUUAUCUUACUAUUUCCACCAAACAAAGUGAAAAGAAGUAAAGUUAUAUACACAAAUAUUGUGGAAAUUAUAUACACUAAUGGAGGACUGGAUGAUUUAAUCUAGGAAGAUCACGUAAUAAUAACCUUAAUUCAUCGCCAUAUCCUCUUAUAUUCCUUAUGCAUGAUACUUCAUAUGCCUUUUGGUAAAAUAAUCCUAGAAUGUUGUAGGUAAUUGAAUUUUGUUGAUAUAUCUCUUGUACAUUGUGUCGUGAAUCUAGUAUUUAGUUGUUUGCUACUGCUUUUAAGUUUAUUUCUCUGUUGCAAAGAUCAAGUAGCUUUCCAUUCGGUGAUAAUUUUGUAAGUAUCCCAUGUUCCUUCUUAUUCUUUAAUGUUCCGCCGUGACCUCCUCUAUCAAACCCCCAAAGCCCCUUCCCUCGAAUCUGACUGGAACCCUUCGAAUACUAAAUUGAAGUUUUCCGGCCAAAACCUUAAUUACUCCAAACUACUCCAAAUUGAUACCACAUGGUCCCCUGGAUUCCCUCAUGAGGAAUUAAGCGUCAAUAGCACUCAAUUCCCACAGGAGAUGGCCGGAUUUGAACUUUGAGAGUUAGCCGGAGUUUUGAAACCGAGUUAGUGAGUUCCCCGAUUUUCUUCUCUUUUUCCUUUCUGGCGUUAAUUUAUUUGUCAUGACUGUUUGGCUUCUUGAUUACAUACUAAUCUUGGUUGUUAAUAAGUGCUAAUCCAAAAAUCAAUAAGUCCUCUUCAAUUCUGUUUCAAUUUCGUUCAACAGUUAUUUCAGUCCGAUCUUAUCAUUGUUUUAGUUUCUAGUUUAGUUUUGUUUGAUUGGUUUAAACUUGCCUGGGUAAUUCUUGGUGUUAGCUUAAUUGUUGUUUGAAUCCGUUCUAAUACAUGUUACAGUUUAUAAUUCUAAUUGAUUUUGUCUGGCCAUUGUUUGAUUUUAAUCUGCAUUGUUUGAUUUGCUAGUUUUGAUCAGUCAGUUUAAUUUAGUUUAAAUUCAUUAGUUGCAUUAGUAAUUCCAUACUCAAGGAUUAGUUUAAGGUUUGUUAGUGUUCUUGCUUAGCUCUUUAGGAUCAAUAAUUUCAGAUAGAUAAAGGGUAGUUUAGGCAUUUCUGACAAAGAAUAUUGUAGUAACUGAGAAUGAACUUCCUAGAAGCUUCUAAAUGGGGGCUUUAGGUAAAUUACAAAAGAUAAGUGUACUAACUUGGGUAACAAGUCAAUAAGUAGAGGACUAUUGUGAAAAUAGAAGAAGGACCAAAAGGAAAAUAGAAAAAUUGAGGGUUGCCCUCAUUAUUGCCUAUAAAAGGCAGUCCUCUUUGCUUCAUUCAUAAGUUUGGACCCCCAAAAUUCCCCCCAAAACAGUCUUAGUUCCUAGAAGUUAAUUUGAAUUUCAAAUUCAAACAUUAGAUCUCAAAUUUUCUUUCUCAUCUUAGAAAAAUCAAAAAAAUACACAAAAGCCACAGCAAAAUACAAAAAAACACUGUUACAUUGAUCAUUUUUUCAGAUUUCAGCUCUUAAUUCAACUGGUUGGAUCAUUUAGGAUAAAAAACAACUCGAAUUUCUCUAUUUGUGUUCUAUGUUCGAGAGUUAAAGCAUUUGCAAGUAGUUUGGGGUUUAUUCAAGUUGUUAUUGAUGUUUCUAAGUGUUGACUAGUUUUCUGGGCUUCUGGGCUCAAUUUCAAGUCUAUUUGCGUCUAUUCAAGUCAUCUUAGUUGAUUCGUGGUUCUAUCUUAUUUUGAUCACUUUCUGGAUUAUCGAGUUCAUCUCUGGGCUGUAUUUGAUUCCUGCUUGCUACUGCGGCUGAUACUUCUUCCUUUUUUUGUGAUUCUAAUACCAGGUACACUUUCAUAGCCUUUAAUGAUCUGGAAGUUUGAUUCAUGUGUAUGAAUAAUUUGGGGAAUAAAUGAAGAAGAGUUGGUAUCUGUUGACCUGAGUUUACUUAGAAUCAUUUUUAGCUUUUAAUAUUCAUUUUAGCUAUUCAUGUUUAAUUGUAAUUAUAACAAUUGUUUGAACUGUCUGAUGUGUAUUGGACUAUAAUAGGACUGUUUUGAGACUAUUCUUAACUUGUGGAUUGUGAGUUGAUUUUAUGUCGGCCUGUGAGCAGGUGAAUCCAUUAAUUAGUAAUUUUAUUUUGGGUUUAGCUUGUGUUACGAGUGUAGUGUAAUUCGAAUCUAUAUGAUAGUUGUAUUUUACAGUUGGAAAUUGAACUAAUAAUCAGUACGCAUGCUCCUAUUAUGUUAAGCAAUAAACAGUUUUAGUAAUAAUUCAGUAGUGCAAUUUUGGAAUCACGAGAUCGCCUGAAUGUUGAAUGACAGCUUAGUAAUGCUAAUUUGAAUAAGUAUCAUGUAAUUGAGCUGCUAAUACUGUUGUUUUCAGUUUGAUUUUUACCUUUAGUGAAUAUUAGGAGCUCACUAGUAGAUAGAUAAAUAAGAUAAUCUAAGUAUGGAACUGGAGACAAGAGGGGCUUGGUCUGAUGGUAACCAACCCUCACUUACAACCGAAAGGUUGUGAGUUCGAGUCUCCCCAGGAGCAAAUUCUGGGGAUUUAUGCCGGGGGUCUAUUUGGAAAC